rnacentral:rRNA from 1 species
UCCAGAGGGUGCAAUCGUUAAUCGGAAUUACUGGGCGUAAAGCGUGCGUAGGUGGUUUGUUAAGUCAGGCGUGAAAUCCCUGGGCUCAACCUGGGAACUGCGUUUGAUACUGGCAGACUCGAGUGUGGUAGAGGGUAGUGGAAUUCCGCAUGUAGCAGUGAAAUGCGUAGAUAUGCGGAGGAACACCAGUGGCGAAGGCGGCUACCUGGACCAACACUGACACUGAGGCACGAAAGCGUGGGGAGAAAACAGG